AGUUCCGAGGUGUUCCGCACGCAAGAUUGCAAAUCUUGAAGAGUAGCCUAAUCGUCUGCCGGGGCUU
rnacentral:tRNA from 1 species